rnacentral:rRNA from 1 species
GUGGGGAAUAUUGGGCAAUGGGCGAAAGCCUGACCCAGCAACGCCGCGUGAAGGAAGAAGGUUUUCGGAUCGUAAACUUCUAUCCUUGGUGAAGAUAAUGACGGUAGCCGAGAAGGAAGCCCCGGCUAACUACGUGCCAGCAGCCGCGGUAAUACGUAGGGGGCAAGCGUUGUCCGGAAUGAUUGGGCGUAAAGGGCGCGUAGGCGGCCUGGUAAGUCUGGAGUGAAAGUCCUGCUUUUAAGGUGGGAAUUGCUUUGGAUACUGUCGGGCUUGAGUGCAGGGGAGGUAAGUGGAAUUCCCGGUGUAGCGGUGAAAUGCGUAGAGAUCGGGAGGAACACCAGUGGCGAAGGCGGCUUACUGGACUGUAACUGACGCUGAGGCGCGAAAGUGUGGGGAGCAAACAGGAUUAGAUACCCCAGUAGUCC